rnacentral:rRNA from 1 species
CCGUAACUAUAACGGUCCUAAGGUAGCGAAAUUCCUUGUCGGGUAAGUUCCGACCUGCACGAAAGGCGCAACGACUUGGGCGCUGUCUCGACCAUGGACCCGGUGAAAUUGCACUGGUCGUGAAGAUGCGACUUACCCGCGGAAGGACGGAAAGACCCCGUGAACCUUCACUGCAGCUUGGCAUUGGCCGCUGGUCCCGCGUGUAGAGGAUAGGCAGGAGGCAUCGAUCCGGAGGCGCCAGCCCCCGGGGAGCCGCCCUUGGAAUACUGCCCUCGCGCGACCGGCGUCCUAACCCGAGGCCGUCAACCGGCUCGGGGACCGUGCCAGGCGGGCAGUUUGACUGGGGCGGUCGCCUCCUAAAGGGUAACGGAGGCGCGCGAAGGUCCGCUCGGGACGGUCGGCAACCGUCCUUUUGAAUGCAAGAGUACAAGCGGGCUUGACUGCGAGGCCCACAAGCCGAGCAGGUGCGAAAGCAGGCUCUAGUGAUCCGGCGGCCCCGAGUGGGUGGGCCGUCGCUCAACGGAUAAAAGGUACUCCGGGGAUAACAGGCUGAUCUUGCCCAAGAGUCCACAUCGACGGCAAGGUUUGGCACCUCGAUGUCGGCUCAUCGCAUCCUGGGGCUGGAGCAGGUCCCAAGGGUACGGCUGUUCGCCGUUUAAAGCGGUACGCGAGCUGGGUUCAGAACGUCGUGAGACAGUUCGGUCCCUAUCCUCCGUGGGCGCAGGAGAAUCGAUGGAGGCUGCCCCCAGUACGAGAGGACCGGGGUGGACGCACCUCCGGUGAACCGGUUGUCGACCAACGGCACGGCCGGGUAGCCGCGUGCGGCGCGGAUAACCGCUGAAGGCAUCUAAGCGGGAAGCCGUUCCAGGGAUUAGUUCUCCUUCCGGUAAGGGCCCAGGUAGACUACCUGGUCGAUAGACGGCAGGUGCAAGGCUGGCGACAGCCUCAGCCGAGCCGCACUAAUCGCCCGAGCUCUUCCGGAA